UGUAUAUUGAACCGGGGCUUCUAGCUCUAGUGGUAAAGGACUUACAGCUUUGAGUACUGCCACCUGGGUUCGAAUCCCGGCCACUGGGGAAUUAACAUUUCGGCAUCGCCAGGGACAGAAGACCGACACGUGGCAACACGUGACUAGUAUACAUCACUUCUGUGGAGCCAUGAUACCUCUGUAAAAUUCAAAAAAAAAAGGUGUACACUGAAAGCAAAGAUGAGUUGUGGUAUAUAUUUAUUUGACCAAGUGGUGAGUUGACUUGGGUGUGGCC
rnacentral:lncRNA from 1 species